GCCUCCGUAGCUCAGAGGAAGAGCAUCGGAUUUCUAAUCCGUGGGCCGCGUGUUCGAAUCACGCCGGGGGCUCCA
rnacentral:tRNA from 1 species